rnacentral:rRNA from 1 species
UACGAAGGUGGCAAGCGUUGUUCGGAUUUACUGGGCGUACAGGGAGCGUAGGCGGUUGGAUAAGCCCUCCGUGAAAUCUCCAGGCUUAACCUGGAAAGUGCAGAGGGGACUGUUCAGCUAGAGGAUGGGAGAGGAGCGCGGAAUUCCCGGUGUAGCGGUGAAAUGCGUAGAGAUCGGGAGGAAGGCCGGUGGCGAAGGCGGCGCUCUGGAACAUUUCUGACGCUGAGGCUCGAAAGCGCGGGGAGCAAACAGG